rnacentral:rRNA from 1 species
AGUGAACGCUGGCGGUAGGCCUAACACAUGCAAGUCGAACGGUAACACAGUAUGCGCUUGCUCUUACGGGUGGCGGGUGGCGGACGGGUGAUGCGUACAUCGGAUUCCACUUUUUCGUGGGGGAUACCGGAGGACAACUUCUGAUAAUACCUCAUACGACUUACGGCUGAAAGCUGGGUAUCUUCGGAUCUUGUGCGAUUGGAUGAGCUGAUGUCGUAUUAGCUUGUUGGUGGGGUAAUGGCCCACCAAGGCGACGAUCCGUAGCUGGUCUGAGAGGAUGAUCGGCCACACUGGAGCUGAAACACGGUCCAGACUCCUACGGGAGGCAGCAGUCGGGAAUAUGAGGCAAAGGGCGGAAGCCUGACACAGCCGGCCCGCGUGUGUGAAGAAGGCCUUCGGGUUGUAAAGCCCUUUUGUUGGGAAAGAACAGCUGUAAGUUAAUACGCCGCUGUUGUGACGGUACCCAAAGAAUAAGCGCCGGCUAACUACGUG